AACGUAGGUACCGAGCGUUAUCCGGAUUUACUGGGCGUAAAGCGCGUUCAGGCGGUUUGACAAGUCGGGCAUGAAAUCUCUCGGCUCAACCGGGAGAGGUUGUCCGAUACUGUCAGACUUGAGGGCAGUAGAGGGUGGUGGAAUUCCGGGUGUAGUGGUGAAAUGCGUAGAGAUCCGGAGGAACACCGAUGGCGAAGGCAGGUCUCUGGGCCGAUACUGACGCUGAGGAGCGAAAGCGUGGGGAGCGAACAGG
rnacentral:rRNA from 1 species